UACGAAGGGGGCUAGCGUUGCUCGGAAUCACUGGGCGUAAAGCGCACGUAGGCGGACUCUUAAGUCGGUGGUGAAAUCCUGGAGCUCAACUCCAGAACUGCCUUCGAUACUGGGAGUCCCGAGUCCGGGAGAGGUGAGUGGAACUGCGAGUGUAGAGGUGAAAUUCGUAGAUAUUCGCAAGAACACCAGUGGCGAAGGCGGCUUACUGGUCCGGUUCUGACGCUGAGGCGCGAAAGCGUGGGGAGCAAACAGG
rnacentral:rRNA from 1 species